AGAGUUUGAUCCUGGCUCAGGAUGAACGCUAGCGGCAGGCUUAACACAUGCAAGUCGAGGGACGGUAGCAAUACUGGACCGGCAAACGGGUGCGGAACACGUACGCAACUUACCCCAAACAGGUGAAUAGCCUUCUGAAAAGGAGAUUAAUACACCGUAAAAUGUAGUGAUGGCAUCAUUGUUACAUAAUAGCUGAGGCGGUUUGGGAUGGGCGUGCGUCUGAUUAGCUAGUUGGUAGGGUAACGGCUUACCAAGGCAACGAUCAGUAACUGGUGUGAGAGCACGACCAGUCACACGGGCACUGAGACACGGGCCCGACUCCUACGGGAGGCAGCAGUGAGGAAUAUUGGUCAAUGGACGCAAGUCUGAACCAGCCAUGCCGCGUGAAGGAUGAAGGCGUUCUGCGUUGUAAACUUCUUUUAUCUGGGAAGAAACCUCCGAUUUCUAUUGGAGCUGACGGUACCAGAGGAAUAAGCACCGGCUAACUCCGUGCCAGCAGCCGCGGUAAUAC
rnacentral:rRNA from 1 species